rnacentral:lncRNA from 1 species
UGCAACUGUAGCAGCCGCCAUGGGAGUUGGAGGUGUUGUCUAGGGUUUCACUACGACACUACCUGGAAGGCUUAUUAUAGGGAGAAGUUGUAGGGAGAAGUUGGGCCGAGUGGAACGAAUGAGGCUGUAGAGGCUUAUUAUAGGGAGAGGGGUCUGGCCCAGUGGAACGAAUGGGAGGGAAAAAUGUUCAUGGAGGGGUGUGUGGGGGGGGUCCAAAUAUUUCUUUAACUGAUCAAAUAGGAGAUAGCUAAUUUUUUUAGCCUAACUGAUCCAAACAAGGGAACAUGAGAAUUGAUUGAUAAAUUCUUGGAAUCGGCCACAUGAUACUCGUCAAUUUCUCAACCAAAGAUCAUUUCUCAAUCAGAAAACCAAAGCUUGUCUACUACUCCAUCCGUUUCAAAAUGCAAGUAGUUUUGAAUUUUCUAUACAGAUAGGUCCUGCUAUGCACCUAAAUAUAGAGUUAUACCUAGAUAAAUAACAUCUAUAGCCUUAACCAGAGCUUGGAGACCCCUUGCAACUGUAGCAGCCGCCAUGGGAGUUGGAGGUGUUGUCUAGGGUUUCACUACGAUACUACCUGGAAGGCUUAUUAUUGGGAGAAGUUGUAGGGAGAAGUUGGGCCGAGUGGAACGAAUGAGGCUGGAGAGGCUUAUUAUAGGGAGAGGGGUCUGGCCCAGUGGAACGAAUGGGAGGGGAAAAUGUUUAUGGAGGGGUGUGUGUGUGGGGGGGGGGUCCAAAUAUUCGUUUAACUGAUCAAAUAGGAGAUAGCUAAUUUUUUUAGCCUAACUGAUCCAAACAAGGGAAAAUGAGAAUUGAUUGAUAAAUUCUUGGAAUUGGUCACAUGAUACCCGUCAAUUUCUCUAACCAAAGAUCAUUUCUCAAUCAGAAAACCAAAGCUUGUCUACUACUCCAUCCGUUUCAAAAUGCAAGUAGUUUUGAAUUUUCUAUACAGAUAGGUCCUGCUAUGCACCUAAAUAUAGAGUUAUACCUAGAUAAAUAACAUCUAUAGCCUUGACCAGAGCUUGGAGACCCCUUGAAACUGUAGCAGCCGCCAUGGGAGUUGGAGGUGUUGUCUAGGGUUUCACUACGACACUACCUGAAAGGCUUAUUAUAGGGAGAAGUUGUAGGGAGAAGUUGGGCCGAGUGGAACGAAUGAGGCUGUAGAGGCUUAUUAUAGGGACAGGGGUCUGGCCCAGUGGAACGAAUGGGAGGGAAAAAUGUUCAUGGAGGGGUGUGUGGGGGGGGUCCAAAUAUUUCUUUAACUGAUCAAAUAGGAGAUAGCUAAUUUUUUUAGCCUAACUGAUCCAAACAAGGGAACAUGAGAAUUGAUUGAUAAAUUCUUGGAAUCGGCCACAUGAUACCCGUCAAUUUCUCAACCAAAGAUCAUUUCUCAAUCAGAAAACCAAAGCUUGUCUACUACUCCAUCCGUUUCAAAAUGCAAGUAGUUUUGAAUUUUCUAUACAGAUAGGUCCUGCCUAUGCACCUAAAUAUAGAGUUAUACCUAGAUAAAUAACAUCUAUAGCCUUAACCAGCAGCUUGGAGACCCCUUGCAACUGUAGCAGCCGCCAUGGGAGUUGGAUGUGUUGUCUAGGGUUUCACUACGACACUACCUGGAAGGCUUAUUAUAGGGAGAAGUUGUAGGGAGAAGGUUGGCCGAUUGGAACGAAUGAGGCUGUAGAGGCUUAUUAUAGGGAGAGGGGUCUGGCCCAGUGGAACGAAUGGGAGGGAAAAAUAGUUCAUGGAGGGGUGUGUGUGUGGGGGGGGGGGUCCAAAUAUUCCUUUAACUGAUAAAAUAGGAGAUAGCUAAUUUUUUUAGCCUAACUGAUCCAAACAAGGCGAACAUGAGAAUUGAUUGAUAAAUUCUUGGAAUCGGCCACAUGAUACCCGUCAAUUUCUCAACCAAAGAUCAUUUCUCAAUCAGAAAACCAAAGAUUGUCUACUACUCCAUCCGUUUCAAAAUGCAAGUAGUUUUAAAUUUUCUAUACAGAUAGGUCCUGCUAUGCACCUAAAUAUAGAGUUAUACCUAGAUAAAUAACAUCUAUAGCCUUGACCAGAGCUUGGAGAUCCCUUGCAACUGUAGCAGCCGCCAUGGGAGUUGGAGGUGUUGUCUAGGGUUUCACUACGACACUACCUGGAAGGCUUAUUAUAGGGAGAAGUUGUAGGGAGAAGGUUGGGCCAAGUGGAACGAAUGAGGCUGUAGAGGCUUAUUAUAGGGAGAGGGGUCUGGCCCAGUGGAACGAAUGGGAGGGAAAAAUGUUCAUGGAGGGGUGUGUGUGGGGGGGGGUCCAAAUAUUCCUUUAACUGAUCAAAUAGGAGAUAGCUAAUUUUUUAGCCUAACUGAUCCAAACAAGGGAACAUGAGAAUUGAUUGAUAAAUUCUUGGAAUCGGCCACAUGAUACCCGUCAAUUUCUCAACCAAAGAUCAUUUCUCAAUCAGAAAACCAAAGCUUGUCUACUACUCCAUCCGUUUCAAAAUGCAAGUAGUUUUGAAUUUUCUAUACAGAUAGGUCCUGCUAUGCACCUAAAUAUAGAGUUAUACCUAGAUAAAUAACAUCUAUAGCCUUGACCAGAGCUUGGAGACCCCUUGCAACUGUAGCAGCCGCCAUGGGAGUUGGAGGUGUUGUCUAGGGUUUCACUACGACACUACCUGGAAGGCUUAUUAUAGGGAGAAGUUGUAGGGAGAAGUUGGGCUGAGUGGAACGAAUGAGGCUGUAGAGGCUUAUUAUAGGGAGAGGGGUCUGGCCCAGUGGAACGAAUGGGAGGGCAAAAAUGUUCAUGGAGGGUGUGUGUUGGGGGGGGUUCCAAAUAUUCCUUUAACUGAUCAAAUAGGAGAUAGCUAAUUUUUUUAGCCUAACUGAUCCAAACAAGGGAACAUGAGAAUUGAUUGAUAAAUUCUUGGAAUCGGCCACAUGAUACCCGUCAAUUUCUCAACCAAAGAUCAUUUCUCAAUCAGAAAACCAAAGGUUGUCUACUACUCCAUCCGUUUCAAAAUGCAAGUAGUUUUGAAUUUUCUAUACAGAUAGGUCCUGCUAUGCACCUAAAUAUAGAGUUAUACCUAGAUAAAUAACAUCUAUAGCCUUGACCAGAGCUUGGAGACCCCUUGCAACUGUAGCAGCCGCCAUGGGAGUUGGAGGUGUUGUCUAGGGUUUCACUACGACACUACCUGGAAGGCUUAUUAUAGGGAGAAGUUGUAGGGAGAAGUUGGGCUGAGUGGAACGAAUGAGGCUGUAGAGGCUUAUUAUAGGGAGAGGGGUCUGGCCCAGUGGAACGAAUGGGAGGCAAAAAUGUUCAUGGAGGGGUGUGUGUGGGGGGGGGGUCCAAAUAUUCCUUUAACUGAUCAAAUAGGAGAUAGCUAAUUUUUUAGCCUAACUGAUCCAAACAAGGGAACAUGAGCAUUGAUUGAUAAAUUCUUGGAAUCGGCCACAUGAUACCCGUCAACCAAAGAUCAUUUCUCAAUCAGAAAACCAAAGCUUGUCUACUACUCUAUCCGUUUCAAAAUGCAAGUAGUUUUGAAUUUUCUAUACAGAUAGGUCCUGCUAUGCACCUAAAUAUAGAGGUAUACCUAGAUAAAUAACAUCUAUAGCCUUAACCAGAGCUUGGAGACCCCUUGCAACUGUAGCAGCCGCCAUGGGAGUUGGAUGUGUUGUCUAGGGUUUCACUACGACACUACCUGGAAGGCUUAUUAUAGAGAGAUGUUGUAGGGAGAAGGUUGGCCAAUUGGACCGAAUGAGGCUGUAGAGGCUUAUUAUAGGGAGAGGGGUCUGGCCCAGUGGAACGAAUGGGAGGGAAAAAUGUUCAUGGAGGGGUGUGUGUGGGGGGGGGGGGGUCCAAAUAUUCCUUUAACUGAUCAAAUAGGAGAUAGCUAAUUUUUUUAGCCUAACUAAUCCAAACAAGGGAACAUGAGAAUUGAUUGAUAAAUUCUUGGAAUCGGCCACAUGAUACCCGUCAAUUUCUCAACCAAAGAUCAUUUCUCAAUCAGAAAACCAAAGCUUGUCUACUACUCCAUCCGUUUCAAAAUGCAAGUAGUUUUGAAUUUUCUAUACAGAUAGGUCCUGCUAUGCACCUAAAUAUAGAGUUAUACCUAGAUAAAUAACAUCUAUAGCCUUGACCAGAGCUUGGAGACCCCUUGCAACUGUAGCAGCCGCCAUGGGAGUUGGAGGUGUUGUCUAGGGUUUCACUACGACACUACCUGGAAGGCUUAUUAUAGGGAGAAGUUGUAGGGAGAAGUUGGGCCGAGUGGAACGAAUGAGGCUUUAGAGGCUUAUUAUAGGGAGAGGGGUCUGGCCCAGUGGAACGAAUGGGAGGCAAAAAUGUUCAUGGAGGGGUGUGUGGGGGGGGGGUCCAAAUAUUCCUUUAACUGAUCAAAUAGGAGAUAGCUAAUUUUUUAGCCUAACUGAUCCAAACAAGGGAACAUGAGAAUUGAUUGAUAAAUUCUUGGAAUCGGCCACAUGAUACCCGUCAAUUUCUCAACCAAAGAUCAUUUCUCAAUCAGAAAACCAAAGCUUGUCUACUACUCUAUCCGUUUCAAAAUGCAAGUAGUUUUGAAUUUUCUAUACAGAUAGGUCCUGCUAUGCACCUAAAUAUAGAGGUAUACCUAGAUAAAUAACAUCUAUAGCCUUAACCAGAGCUUGGAGACCCCUUGCAACUGUAGCAGCCGCCAUGGGAGUUGGAUGUGUUGUCUAGGGUUUCACUACGACACUACCUGGAAGGCUUAUUAUAGAGAGAUGUUGUAGGGAGAAGGUUGGCCAAUUGGACCGAAUGAGGCUGUAGAGGCUUAUUAUAGGGAGAGGGGUCUGGCCCAGUGGAACGAAUGGGAGGGAAAAAUGUUCAUGGAGGGGUGUGUGUGGGGGGGGGUCCAAAUAUUCCUUUAACUGAUCAAAUAGGAGAUAGCUAAUUUUUUUAGCCUAACUAAUCCAAACAAGGGAACAUGAGAAUUGAUUGAUAAAUUCUUGGAAUCAGCCACAUGAUACCCGUCAAUUUCUCAACCAAAGAUCAUUUCUCAAUCAGAAAACCAAAGCUUGUCUACUAAUCCAUCCGUUUCAAAAUGCAAGUAGUUUUGAAUUUUCUAUACAGAUAGGUCCUGCUAUGCACCUAAAUAUAGAGUUAUACCUAGAUAAAUAACAUCUAUAGCCUUGACCAGAGCUUGGAGACCCCUUGCAACUGUAGCAGCCGCCAUGGGAGUUGGAGGUGUUGUCUAGGGUUUCACUACGACACUACCUGGAAGGCUUAUUAUAGGGAGAAGUUGUAGGGAGAAGUUGGGCCGAGUGGAACGAAUGAGGCUUUAGAGGCUUAUUAUAGGGAGAGGGGUCUGGCCCAGUGGAACGAAUGGGAGGCAAAAAUGUUCAUGGAGGGGUGUGGGGGGGGGGGGUCCAAAUAUUCCUUUAACUGAUCAAAUAGGAGAUAGCUAAUUUUUUAGCCUAACUGAUCCAAACAAGGGAACAUGAGAAUUGAUUGAUAAAUUCUUGGAAUCGGCCACAUGAUACCCGUCAAUUUCUCAACCAAAGAUCAUUUCUCAAUCAGAAAACCAAAGCUUGUCUACUACUCCAUCCGUUUCAAAAUGCAUGUAGUUUUGAAUUUUCUAUACAGAUAGGUCCUGCUAUGCACCUAAAUAUAGAGUUAUACCUAGAUAAAUAACAUCUAUAGCCUUAACCAGAGCUUGGAGACCCCUUGCAACUGUAGCAGCCGCCAUGGGAGUUGGAUGUGUUGUCUAGGGUUUCACUACGACACUACCUGGAAGGCUUAUUAUAGAGAGAUGUUGUAGGGAGAAGGUUGGCCAAUUGGAACGAAUGAGGCUGUAGAGGCUUAUUAUAGGGAGAGGGGUCUGGCCCAGUGGAACGAAUGGGAGGGAAAAAUGUUCAUGGAGGGGUGUGUGUGGGGGGGGUCCAAAUAUUCCUUUAACUGAUCAAAUAGGAGAUAGCUAAUUUUUUUAGCCUAACUGAUCCAAACAAGGGAACAUGAGAAUUGAUUGAUAAAUUCUUGGAAUCGGCCACAUGAUACCCGUCAAUUUCUCAACCAAAGAUCAUUUCUCAAUCAGAAA